GAUUAAGUUAUUAAGGGCGCACGGUGGAUGCCUUGGCACUAGAAGCCGAUGAAGGACGUUACUAACGACGAUAUGCUUUGGGGAGCUGUAAGUAAGCUUUGAUCCAGAGAUUUCCGAAUGGGGAAACCCAGCAUGAGUUAUGUCAUGUUAUCGAUAUGUGAAUACAUAGCAUAUCAGAAGGCACACCCGGAGAACUGAAACAUCUUAGUACCCGGAGGAAGAGAAAGAAAAUUCGAUUCCCUUAGUAGCGGCGAGCGAAACGGGAAGAGCCCAAACCAACAAGCUUGCUUGUUGGGGUUGUAGGACACUCUAUACGGAGUUACAAAGGACGACAUUAGACGAAUCAUCUGGAAAGAUGAAUCAAAGAAGGUAAUAAUCCUGUAGUCGAAAAUGUUGUCUCUCUUGAGUGGAUCCUGAGUACGACGGAGCACGUGAAAUUCCGUCGGAAUCUGGGAGGACCAUCUCCUAAGGCUAAAUACUCUCUAGUGACCGAUAGUGAACCAGUACCGUGAGGGAAAGGUGAAAAGCACCCCGGAAGGGGAGUGAAAUAGAAC
rnacentral:rRNA from 1 species